rnacentral:rRNA from 1 species
GACGAACGCUGGCGGCGUGCUUAACACAUGCAAGUCGAACGGAAAGGCCCUUCGGGGUACUCGAGUGGCGAACGGGUGAGUAACACGUGGGUGAUCUGCCCUGCACUUUGGGAUAAGCCUGGGAAACUGGGUCUAAUACCGAAUAGGACCACGCGCUUCAUGGUGUGUGGUGGAAAGCUUUUGCGGUGUGGGAUGGGCCCGCGGCCUAUCAGCUUGUUGGUGGGGUAAUGGCCUACCAAGGCGACGACGGGUAGCCGGCCUGAGAGGGUGACCGGCCACACUGGGACUGAGAUACGGCCCAGACUCCUACGGGAGGCAGCAGUGGGGAAUAUUGCACAAUGGGCGCAAGCCUGAUGCAGCGACGCCGCGUGAGGGAUGACGGCCUUCGGGUUGUAAACCUCUUUCACCAGGGACGAAGCGUAAGUGACGGUACCUGGAGAAGAAGCACCGGCCAACUAUGU